CUCUCCCAGCGUGAUUACAUGUAGUGCAUCAGUUGCACUUGAUUUGAAUUUUCAGGGCAGUCUAUGCAACCCUACCAGCAGGAGCUCUAUAUAAAAUUGAAGCUUAGAUGCUAGAGAAUGAGAAGGCAGCAAAAAGGAGGGGCCCUAGUGGAAGACUGUCCUGGCUAACUCCAAGCCCUGGCUGGGAGACAGUCCUGACACUCACUCCUUAAAUGACCUUUGUCCCAUCCGGCACCUUUGCAGAGAGCUCAGGGCUCCUGGCCGAUACCGCAGGCAGUUACUGGCGAGCUCUCCCUGCGAGCAGCCCUUCCCUUCGGCUCCGCUCCACCGGGACAAGCCCGGGCGCUGCUCGCUCCGCCCUGCCAAGGGUGUGCACGGCGCGGUGCAGCCGAGGGGCAGGUGGAGCAGUCCCCGCAGUCCGUAGCGGGGAGCUGCGGCUCCGGCCGAGCAGGUACAUAUGAAGCAAUUCGAGAAAUGAGAACCUAUGCCAUAUUUUUCAACAUAAAUGGCAAACCUUGCAAUAUGAAUGGAAAGCAAAUGAAAUGCAAAGAAGGAAAGACAGAAAAACAGCUGACCCUGUCACUGAAGGCAGAAUAAGGCCACUUGGUGUGUCUGACUCUUUUUUUUAAUAUCACUUCAAUCCAAUUGCUCAAAGAAUGUGAAAUAAUGAACAUAUUAGCAAGUAUAAUGUUGAUUGGUGCCCAUCAUAAAAUGAAAAUGGUCGAUUCUUGAUCUGAUUUAACAUCCAUUAAGAAGAGUCAAACUGUUGCUGAAAUAAUAUCGUAUCAAGUAGUGUUUCAGGUUGGCCAUCCCAGAAAUGAAACUGAACCUGUUCAAUAAGAUACAGGAUAGUGUGUUCUUAAAAUCUGUCCAGUAAAUCUUUCUCUCAGGAAAGGUAAGGGAAAAAAAAUCACAGUGGAAAUAUAAAUGUAAUGUAACAAGUCAAUCAGAACAUUUCUUCGCAUAACACCUCAUCUGUUCACAAAAGUAAUUUCAUGUUUUUCGGUGAAAUUUCAAAUAACUGCACUCUGAACUUAUCUGCAAUUAAUUUAUCUGAUGGAUUAAUAGAAAAGAAAAAUAUAGUAAGAAAU
rnacentral:lncRNA from 1 species